rnacentral:tRNA from 1 species
CCCUGGUUAGCUCAGUUGGUAGAGCGCUCCACUUAUAAUGGAGAGGUCCCGGGUUCAAUACCCGGACCGGCUGGA